rnacentral:rRNA from 1 species
UACAGAGGGUGCGAGCGUUAAUCGGAUUUACUGGGCGUAAAGCGUGCGUAGGCGGCUUUUUAAGUCGGAUGUGAAAUCCCGGGGCUCAACCUCGGAACUGCCAUUGAUACUAUUAGCCUUGAAUUAUGUUGAGGUUGGCGGAAUAUAACAUGUAGCGGUGAAAUGCUUAGAUAUGUUAUGGAACACCGAUUGCGAAGGCAGCUGGCUAAACAUAUAUUGACGCUGAUGCACGAAAGUGUGGGUAGCAAACAGG